ACCAUGAAGUCGUCCAUGUGUCCCACGGCUGCCUCGCUUAGAUGCGUUGUUGUCGUGGACCACGUGGGCGAGCUCGUGCUCUCGGUUGCAGAACAUAAUGUCGGUUCGGGGUUAUCUUUACCCUUUUCGACCCAACACAAGCUUUCUCGCUUGAAACGAACGAUCGNCNUGCCCGUCCACGAACACGUCCGUCCCUAAGGUCGGAAAAGGGUGUCGUGCGGAGU
rnacentral:misc_RNA from 1 species